AUACCGUGAAACUGCGAAUGGCUCAUAAAUCAGUAUCGUUUAUUUGAUAGUACCUCACUACAUGGAUACCUGUGGUAAUUCUAGAGCUAAUACAUGCUAAAAACCCGACUUCGGAAGGGGUGUAUUUAUUAGAUAAAAAACCAAUGCCCUUCGGGGCUCUUUGGUGAUUCAUAAUAACUUCUCAGAUCGCAUGGCCUUGCGCCGGCGACGGGUUCAUUCAAAUUUCUGCCCUAUCAACUUUCGAUGGUAAGGUAUUGGCUUACCAUGGUGGCAACGGGUAACGGGGAAUUAGGGUUCGAUUCCGGAGAGUUAGCCUGAGAAACGGCUAACACAUCCAAGGAAGGCAGCAGGCGCGCAAAUUACCCAAUCCCGAUACGGGGAGGUAGUGACAAUAAAUACUGAUACAGGGCUCUUUUGGGUCUUGUAAUUGGAAUGAGUACAAUUUAAACCUCUUAACGAGGAACAAUUGGAGGGCAAGUCUGGUGCCAGCAGCCGCGGUAAUUCCAGCUCCAAUAGCGUAUAUUAAAGUUGUUGCAGUUAAAAAGCUCGUAGUUGAACCUUUGGCCUGGCUGGCAGGUCCGCCUCACCGCGUGCACUUGUCCGGCCGGGCCUUUUCUUCUGGAGAACCGCAUGCCCUUCACUGGGUGUGUUGGGGACCAGGACUUUUACUUUGAAAAAAUUAGAGUGUUCAAAGCAGGCCUUUGCUCGAAUAUUACAGCAUGGAAUAAUAGAAUAGGACGUGCGGUUCUAUUUUGUUGGUUUCUAGGACCGCCGUAAUGAUUAAUAGGGACAGUCGGGGGCAUCAGUAUUCAAUUGUCAGAGGUGAAAUUCUUGGAUUUAUUGAAGACUAACUACUGCGAAAGCAUUUGCCAAGGAUGUUUUCAUUAAUCAGUGAACGAAAGUUAGGGGAUCGAAGACGAUCAGAUACCGUCGUAGUCUUAACCAUAAACUAUGCCGACUAGGGAUCGGGCGGUGUUACUUUUUUGACUCGCUCGGCACCUUACGAGAAAUCAAAGU
rnacentral:rRNA from 1 species